UCUUAUAAUUUAAAAUGUCUUUUUUUUCUUUCAAGGUAGUUCAAGUGAUAUUGAAGACUUGAAUACGUUUGUUACAACAGGAUUGAAUUUGUUUACAAAGAAAAGUAUUAUGGAAAUAGCAUCUUCUCAAUUGCUAAAAUCUAUUUAUUCUGGUCAAUUAUACAGUUACAGACAUAACUGGUUUAUU